AGCUGCCUAUAAAGGGAUAGCUAAGAGAAAUUCAUUUCAGAUUUUUGGGUAGCUAAAAAACCCAAAAAAUAACAAAUUAGCGGAAAAUAUCCAAAAAACACUGUUCCAUUAAAAUUUUCUAAAACUCUUGAAGAUUUUUUAUUUCUGAAACAAUCCAUAGAUAAUCGGAGGUUUGAAAUGGCUUAAACCGGUUGGUUUCAAGUGUUUAGGUUCGAGUUUUUGGUUGCAUUUGAUUACUGGACAUUAUUGGAUCCUUCUGCUGGUUGGAGUUUGGUUCAAAACUGGUUUUCCUUCCGUUAUUUUUGGGCUGUGUUGUUGCUGUGUUGUUCAGCUGCUGACCUUUUGCUGUUUAUUUCAUUUUCCAGGUGAAUACACAACAAUCAAACCAAUCUAAGGCUUGUGACAUGUGUGGAGGAAACCACCAGAACCAUGAAUGUCAAGCAACCAAUCAAACAGAUGAACAGGCUUAUGUCAUCGGUUACAAACCAUAUCCUUUUGGGAGUCCAAUGGCACAGAAGCAUCCAGGAUUUCAGUGGAGUAAACCAAAUGGUGCAGAAAACUCUCAAAGCUUCCAAAAACAAUAGGGACAAGGUCCGCCAGGAUACCAGAGUCAAAAUCGCGGGGAACCGAGUUACAGACCUUAUCAGCAAGCAAGCCCAUAUCAACAAGCAGGGUCAUAUCAGCAGAGGCCCCAACAAGCUCAUCCAAGUCUUGAUGACCUUUUGUACAAGUAUAUUAAGGUCACUGAUGAAAAGAUGGAAAGCCAAAAUUCAUCCCUCAAAAAUCAAAAAAUUCAAUUAAGCCAAUUGGCAGCUCUUGUGUUAGAAAAGAUUCAGGGUCCCUUACCAAGCAAUACAGAGAAAAAUCCAAAGGAGCACCUUAAGGCCAUCACUUUACGGUCAGAUGAAUUCAAAGAUGAUCAAUUAAUUUCAGACUCAAUGGAAAGAUGUUUGACCAAAUCAGGCACCACACAAGAUGAUGAUCCCACAAUUAGGAGAGAAGCUGAAAUACUGGAAAAAUAUUCAGAGGAUAAGGAUGUCACGACCCAAUUCCCGAACUCGGUCGUGAUGACGCCUCUCGUGAAGACAAGGCCAGCCCAACAGAACGGAACACCUCUUUUAACAGUUAAUUAACAUAAAGAAGUCUAAACAUGAUUAAUCAUAGUCAUAAGUGCGGAAUAAAGUGAUAAAACAUGGAAACCAUCCCGACACAGCCCAAAUCGGGGUGUCACAAGUCAUGAGCUACUAUAGAGUCUACUAAAAUUCUACAAGGUCUGGAACUUAGUACAAAGUCUAAAGAUAACAUAAGUAAUAGAAGAUAAGGGAGAAACGGGGCUGCGGAUAUCAACAGCUACCUCGUCAUCACCGCCUGGUCUGGAAGGAAUCAGUGCUCAGGAGCGAACUCUGCUAUGCAUGUAUCUGCACACACACGGUGCAAGGAGUAAUGUACACAUGGAUUUAAAUACAAAUGACCCUCUUAGCAACGUGGUCGUAUGGCAGGUCGAAAUGUAUUACCUCAAGCUCCAAGGAGAGGUCGAAAUGCCAAUGCAAAUGCCAAUGAAAAUGAGAACAUACCAGACCCUCCCCCGCCUCCACCAAGAUUGGCCCCAAGAGUUCUCUCUAAUCAAGGGUACGCGAGUGCAAUAGUUCCUCCAAAAAUCUGAGCGGGGAACUUUCGGAUUACAAAUAUUAUGCUCACCUUGCUCGAACAACGAGAUUAUUUCACGGGUGCCUCCGAUCAGAAUGCUUAUAAACAUUUGAAAGGGUUUGUGGAUACUUGUUGGGGUAGCAAGUAGACAAAUGUCUCGAAGGAUGAAUUGAGACUUAGGCUUUUCCCGUUCUCACUUCGGGGAAAGGCAUUGGAUUGGUUAGAGAGGCUCCCCAAUCAUUCUAUCACUACAUGGGAUGAAUUGGCGGACAAGUUCAUCGCUAAGUUCUUUUCUCCAAGUCAUAUGGCGGCGGUCCGUGAUGAGAUUUUGGCUUUCAAACAAGAGCCAAUGGAACCCUUGCACGAGAUAUGGGAGAGAUUUAGAACUAUGGUGAAAGAGUGACCUAACAAUGACAUGAAUGAUGUGAUGAUUCAACAAACAUUCUAUAGGGGCAUCAACACAACCAACCAAUGUAUUGUGAACCAAUUGGUGGGAGGAAAUUUUAUGAAGCUUCCUUACAAUGAAGCUUGUGAUGUGUUAGAUGAAAUGGCCGAUACUUCUUCGGCAUGGCAAAGCCGGGCAAACGUUCCUCAAGGUGACCCUAAUGUCAUACAUUUGCAUAAGGAGUUGCAUGAUCACGGCCAAGCCAUUGCCAAACUUACAACAACAAUGAAUCAAUUGGCGAAGGUGCAAUUACAACAAGUCCAAAACUCGUGCCAAGUCAAUGCCAUGGAAGGAGUGAAUAUGAUGAAAAGGAGGCAAAGAGGGAAACAACCUCAAGGAAAUUUUGAUAACUAUGAUGAUGGUGGUGGUUAUUCAAAUGAAUGCUAUGAUGAUCAAAGUGAGGAAGUCCAAUACGUCAACAACUACCAAGGGAAU